GGGAUGGGCAGCGUUCACCGCUGCAGUUAGCGUUACGGUCCGUUCUGCAAUCCAAACAUCCGAUGGAGCCCCUAUCCUGCACGCCCGCAGAACCGUGCCACCGCCCCUCCCGAGACUUCCGCCACGCCUCCCCACCGUGCGAGAUUGCCGCCCCCGGCCGCGAGUGUGCUGUGUGCCCGUCGAGACAACUGUUGUCUCCUUCCCCAACCUGCAGAAUCGUGCCCACCACCGCCACCUCUCGCGCGAGGCCCGGGUCUGCGGCCACCGGCACAGCCAGCAUCCUUCCCUGCCUGCUCGCUAUGCAUCAUGUCCGCGUUCAGCGAGACAACCGUCGUCCUCCCUUGCUGAGUUAAGUCUCCUUGUGUGCAGAUGAAGGCAAUGGAGUAUGGAUCUGUGCCAGUAUAGAUAAGCUUUUCCAGCUAUGAAUCAAGAACAAUGACCCUUUGCAUUGGGAUCGACAGAUCAAGGGUGGGAUGGUUAGGGGUUCGUUGCGGCCAUAGCCUUCAUUGCAAGGCUUAUUCCUCCAUAAGGAAGCUGUGAACUGGGCAUCUGCUAGAGAACCACAUGACCUACAUGAGGCACCAACUCCUGAAAUUAAGGGUACAAGUAUCUUAUUUUUAAAGGAGGGAGAGCAAGGAUCUGUAGCCUUGAGACCCCAUACAGAUAGAUGCACAAUAUGUGUGAACAAAAAAAAACAAACAAGAAUUAUUUCCUAUAAAAAUAUAUGUACAAAUCUGUGUUGGAUGAUUCUAAUCUUUGAACACAGGGCUUUCAUUGCUUCGGAUUUGGA